CAAAAAGUUUAGUUAGAACAUAGCUGAUAUUUUAUGUAGUAUAGUUAUUUUUACGAAAAAAAAAAUGAACUCGUUACCUGGAGGUACGCAAAAAAUGAAUGUUAUCCUGAUAAAUCUUGUUUGCAAAUAACAGAAAGUUGUGCUGAAGUGAAAUUACAAGCAUUAUUAGAUAUAACUACUGAAAGAAUUUUAAAAUCACAGGGUAGUAUUAUUGAUUCAUCUAAGGCAACUACCUCAAAAAAAUAUUAAACAUAUUCACCCAGAAGUAUUGGAAAUGAUUUUGCCUCCAGACAUCAACAUAAAAACAAUAGAAACAGAGUCAGAUAUUAGUAGUGAAAAUUAAGUUUCCACG